rnacentral:rRNA from 1 species
AGCUCUAAUAGCAUACGUUAAAGUUGUUGCGGUUAAAACGCUCGUAGUCGGCUUCAGACCAUCAGAAGCCUGGCUCGGGGUCUCGGGUCUGUGCCUCGCAAGGGGUGCGCCUUGGUCUUGGGCCGGGUGGGCGGCGGUCAAUCGUGCCCAGUGGCGUGUCGCGGCUUGCCGUGGCUUACAGGGCCUUCGGGAUCAAAACCCGGCUUCCGCAAGGGGGUCGGGUCCCGUCGGUCUGGCUCUGGGUACCAAUUACCAUGAUUAAACCGGAGUGAUCAAAGCAAACCGCUGCGGUUACUGCACGGAUUAGCAUGGCAUAAGGAUGCGUCGGGUUGGUCUCGUAGCGGGCCUCCUCGGCAAUUCCGCGAAAGGGGUGUUCGGGGGCAGCCGAAUUGCCGGGCUAGUGGUGAAAUACGUUGACCCUGGCAAGUCGACCGAAAGCGAAAGCAGCUGUCAAGGGCACACCCG